rnacentral:rRNA from 1 species
AUCCUACGGGAGGCAGCAGUGGGGAAUAUUGCACAAUGGGGGAAACCCUGAUGCAGCGACGCCGCGUGAGUGAAGAAGUAUCUCGGUACGUAAAGCUCUAUCAGCAGGGAAGAAGAUGACGGUACCUGACUAAGAAGCCCCGGCUAACUACGUGCCAGCAGCCGCGGUAAUACGUAGAGGGCAAGCGUUAUCCGGAUUUACUGGGGGUAAAGGGAGCGUAAACGGCAGCGCAAGUCUGGAGUG